rnacentral:rRNA from 1 species
UACGGAGGGUGCAAGCGUUAUCCGGAUUCACUGGGUUUAAAGGGUGCGUAGGCGGACAGGUAAGUCAGUGGUGAAAUCUCUGGGCUUAACCCAGAAACUGCCGUUGAUACUAUUUGUCUUGAAUAUCCUGGAGGUAGGCGGAAUAUGUCAUGUAGCGGUGAAAUGCUUAGAUAUGACAUAGAACACCAAUUGCGAAGGCAGCUCACUACGGAUUUAUUGACACUGAGGCACGAAAGCGUGGGGAGUCAAACAGGA